rnacentral:lncRNA from 1 species
CUCUGCCCGUCGUACAGGUUGACUUUUCUCAACGAAUAUACGUUUCGAAACGACAUAGAGUAAAUACUUAAUACGAAACAACAAAGGUAUUGGUCAUUGUCAACAUAAAUUGUGAUUUACGUAUUGCUGCUACGGAUUAACGUGCUUACAUGAAGUAAUAAAUGCAAUCAAAGACCCAAAAUACAGUUAGAAUUUACUGAGGUCGUAGUGAAUAUCAGGACAGAAACUUAUACAGUGGUAAAGAUGUAGAAGAUGGAUGACCAAAACUGAGAGAGAAUUCUAGGACAGAAAAGAUGUAGAUGUUGGAUAACCAUCCUGGAACAGAACCGUAGGACAAGAAAGAUGUAGAUGAUGGGUGACCAAGCUGGGACAGAAUGCCAAGACAGGAAAGAUGUAGAAAUGAGUGGACCAGGAAGCAAAGAAUCAUUACACCAAGGUGUGCUCGGUUGUCUUGGACACUCCUAAUGUCCCCUGUGACAGGUCAGCCAGCAGCGACAAAGUCAUUAGUAUCGGGGUGGACACCCACCUUCCAGGCAACGAGAACAGCAGCUCAUCAUCGACGAUGUUUUCUUUUUCUAUUGUGGUGGGCAUCCGCAUACUAUAAGCGCAGCCAAUACACUAGCAGCACCACGUGUCGACGUCACGGGCACAGAGAAGACAUCACCUAUUGGCUGGAGACGCUGUGGCUCUGCUGUUACCACAACAGAAACAUUACAUCAUUGUGAGGCUACAUCAGUACAGUCAGAAAUGUUUACCUGGCAUUUAAAACUGAUUUUUGUUUACAAUAAACAAAUUAUUUGAGCAA